AGAGUUUGAUCCUGGCUCAGAUUGAACGCUGGCGGCAGGCCUAACACAUGCAAGUCGAGCGGUAACAGAAAGUAGCUUGCUACUUUGCUGACGAGCGGCGGACGGGUGAGUAAUGCCUGGGAAUAUGCCUUGAUGUGGGGGAUAACUAUUGGAAACGAUAGCUAAUACCGCAUAAUGUCUUCGGACCAAAGAGGGGGAUCUUCGGACCUCUCGCGUCAAGAUUAGCCCAGGUGAGAUUAGCUAGUUGGUGGGGUAAGAGCUCACCAAGGCGACGAUCUCUAGCUGGUCUGAGAGGAUGAUCAGCCACACUGGAACUGAGACACGGUCCAGACUCCUACGGGAGGCAGCAGUGGGGAAUAUUGCACAAUGGGCGAAAGCCUGAUGCAGCCAUGCCGCGUGUAUGAAGAAGGCCUUCGGGUUGUAAAGUACUUUCAGUCGUGAGGAAGGGUGUGCAGUUAAUAGCUGUACAUCUUGACGUUAGCGACAGAAGAAGCACCGGCUAACUCCGUGCCAGCAGCCGCGGUAAUACG
rnacentral:rRNA from 1 species